UUUAAACACCAUAAAUGUAACCGUUGGCCAAAACACUUCCUCACCCUAUUCAGAGUCAUGAUAAUGCAUUCAAAGCUGUGUUGAAAAGCUAAGUUUGGGGUAAAAACCCCAAAAGCUCCCAAAGCCCAAGAAAGUGCAAAAGCAAAAGAAAAAGAAAAAAAUGGAUGAAUCGAGAAAAAAAAAGAAAUAAAAAGAGAAAAAUGAUAACUCGAAGAUUCAAAAGAAAGAAGCACGAAAAUGGGUUGUCGGUGAAAAAAAAA
rnacentral:lncRNA from 1 species